GAUGAACGCUAGCGGCAGGCUUAACACAUGCAAGUCGAGGGGUAUUGGUUUUCGGACCAAGAGACCGGCGCACGGGUGCGUAACGCGUAUGCAAUCUACCUUUUGCAGAGGGAUAGCCCCAGAGAAAUUUGGAUUAAUACCUCAUAGUAUAGUACUUUGGCAUCAAGGAACUAUUAAAGUCACAACGGCAAAGAUGAGCAUGCGUCCCAUUAGCUAGUUGGUAAGGUAACGGCUUACCAAGGCUACGAUGGGUAGGGGUCCUGAGAGGGAGAUCCCCCCANACUGGUACUGAGACACGGACCAGACUCCUACGGGAGGCAGUAGUGAGGAAUAUUGGUCAAUGGGGCGCAAGCCUGAACCAGCCAUGCCGCGUGCAGGAAGACGGUCCUAUGGAUUGUAAACUGCUUUUANACAGGAAGAAACACUCCCUCGUGAGGGAACUUGACGGUACUGUAUGAAUAAGCAUCGGCUAACUCCGUGCCAGCAGCCG
rnacentral:rRNA from 1 species